AAGAUUUUAAGUUAUUAUUAAACUUUAAGCCUUCAAAGCUUAACUAAUAAAUUAAAUUUUAUAAAUCUUA
rnacentral:tRNA from 1 species